UUUCUCCCGUUUCAGUGGAAUCUGCAACGUGGAUAAGAUUCUAUUCCCUGUGUCUUGUAGAUACUGAACUACAGCCUCCCAUGUGCAUUCGCCACUCUGAGGAUGCCUGAUCCUGUCCUUGUCUCCUGAACUUUUUAGCUUUCCUUAAGAUGUGAUAAAUUAAGGAACUCCUUCUAUAUGACAGCAGCACUUUGGGGAGGCUGAACAUGUACCUCUGACUCAAGGCUGAGUUAUUAUUUAAAAAAAACAAAAGGAAGGAAAAAGGUUUUAAUUUCCCACUGUUGAAGACAGUCAGGAUGAGAGGCAGACACACAAACACGCACAGACUUGCACUUCUAUUCAGCAAUCGAUAGGGCAGGGGUUUACCCUUGUUGUCUUCAGAGCAUUGCCUGGAAUACAAAAUGACAUGGUGUUUCUGGAAUACAGUUCUGUUUGAAAGACCAAGAAAAGAUGUCUUCAACACAGAAACAGAUCGUUGCUUCGUGUGGGAGAAGAAAAAAGCAUACAUCAGACUGCAGAAAAAUGGAAAGAAACGGAAGAACGGUUGCCACUUCCCCGUUAAGCAGAUAGAGAAACUGAGGCUCAAAUUGUUACCUCCCCAAGACAGCACACAUCUGCCAGUGAAGACUUAGACCACAGAAACUGGAUAAAGUGUGACACAGGAGCCAAGGAGGAGAGCAGCCAGGAGUGGACCAAAAGGCAAAGUUCACUUAUUUAUUCACUCAUUCCACAAAUAAAUUCUUGAGAACCUACUAUGUGCCAGGCACUGUUCUGAGCCAUGAAGAUGCAGCUGUGACCAACAUGGAUAAAAUUUCCUGCCUUCUUGGAGCUUACAUUCUAGUGAUGGGUUGAGAAGAUCUCAUCCUAGUGCUUUUAUUUCGUUUUUAAUGCUUAGUCAAGAACACAGCACUAAUUCUAUUAUCAAACCAACACCAUGGCUGAUCCAUGUGUGUAGACCAGGAUUUCCUUGGAAGCACAGAUCUUGUGCAGGUGCCUCCCAUUGAGUCAGUCUAGGAAAUGUAGUUUCCAGCCUUCCCGCCUGUGCAUAAAGAGGAGCAGCGAUGUUGCUGAGAUGCUCACAGGCAGCUCCACAUAACCGCUGCUGAGCUCACAUCCAAACGCGCAGACCUCAAAGACCCUCAUCCCCACUUUCUUCCUCUGUGUAUGUGAACAGUCCAUCAAGGCCACGUGAAUUCUUAUUUCCUUCAUCAAGGGAAUAUAGCUGAAGAUGACAAAGAAAUCAGAAAAUAUUGAAAAGAAAGUGGAAACAGAACUUUAAAAGGUGUGGAUGAAAACUUUAUACAAAAAUUAAAAUUCAACUUGAAUUAACAAACAAUAAUGGUAACCAUAAUUCUUGAAGACAGUUUACCAAAAAGCAGCAGUAACUAUACAGAAAAUACUUAUUUUGAAGAAAAGUCAAUGUCAUGCUCUGGCAUUCAGAAAGGGAGAUUCAUAGGUGUAGCAGCGCUGGACUUUCUCUGCCCCCGGUGGAGCAGCUUAUCUGACUGUGGCUGCACCAAAUUACAUUCCCACCAACAGUGUAGGAGGGUUCCCGAGAAAACAUAUUCUUCAGCCAUGGCUCACGGGCCCAGCCGCUCCGCGGCACGUGGGAUCCUCCCGGACCGGGGCACGAACCCGUGUCCGCUGCAUCGGCAGGCGGACUCUCAACCACUGCGCCACCAGGGAAGCCCGAGAAAACAUAUUCUUAUAUAUUUCUAAGGCAGGCAGAGUUAUGUACAAGGACCUACGUUGUAUAGGAGGCUUGGAGGAAGAGUGGACAUCAGAUGUAUCCCAGGAGUUUAACUUAAAACCUGCCUUGGGGGAAAGGCUGGAAGAGUAAAACAGAACCCACAGCAGAUGGAAAGCAGGAGAAGAUUUUAAAGACGCACAGAACAACAGCAAGAAAUGAGAGAUCCUUCCUGACCGUAAGAGGCGUCAGAUAGAAAAAGCAGCUCAAAAACACCAUGAUCCUUACUCACUUCUGAGGCCAUCAGUGGGUCCCAGGAACCAGGAAAAGUUCACCAACCCUCCCAUCAAUACUUCUGAAAGACAAAACAAGUUCCUUUGCAAAGGAUGUAUUUUAUGGAAAGAAGAUAAGAAUCUUGAGAAUCAACAGCAGGACCUUAUUAAAGGAAGGACUAAAGGUUAUUUUAAAACUUUAAACUGGAAAAGGAGCAGGAGUGCACGGUAAGAGUCGCUCCCUCUGAGCUGAGGUGUCCUAGGAGAGGAGGCUUGGACGGAUUGGCAUUUUGGAGGAGGGCAGGGCCAGAGAGGGUGCCCGACUGUGGGAAUGCGGUGGCUGUAGAGGUGAUUGUUUGGGUGCCUGAUCACCAAACAGGGGUGAUUGUUGGGGUGGGGAAGCCGGGUGGGUGGUUGGCCGCAUGCAGACCAGUGGAGCUGAGCAGAGAAUCAAGCACAGCUGUCUCCAGUUCCAUUAAGCGAAGACAAAGCCUAAGAACAUGAACGCCAGGUACUGAGCAGCACAGCUCGCCCGUGCUGAGGAGCCGCGCUGCCUAUUCUCAUUGCUCUUAGGAAGGCCAUCCACUGACAUGGCGGUUACCUGGAUCUUCCUGUCGGUGGAUCACUGGAGCCGAAAUUUGCCACUUGCACUGCGCUACCUGGACUGUUCCUUUCAGUAGGUUAAAAUACUCAUAGGCCCUUGGGUACAGAGUAUGGAAUCCUUGAGGAAUUAGUGCUGAUGAGCAAGGGAACACUCCCCUUCAACCCCAGCACCUAAACUACGGGCCAGUCAGGACAGUGGUGUUAACUCAGCACCACUCCCUUCCACAGCCUCUGUGCUCCCUUUUGACUGCAGGGUUGAAGAGGAGGAAGACUGAAAAGAAGGCAGUUAUGGGGAGUCUGGUUAAGAGGUAAUGAAGGCUUGAACUGAGGCACAGGAACACAGGAGAGGCCACAUUUUCAGAAAAACAUGUUUCAGGUUUGCAGUUUACCAAUUGCAGGAAUUUUCCCUUGAAGAUUUUAAAACCUAGGCUGCUUUCCCCUACUACCCAUUGCAAUAUGAAAUAGCUUUUACAUUGGCAUGGGAAUUUAAAAAAGAAAAUUAGUCUAAGCAAAACAUAAUUAGAAAGAUAAACAUACUUCCUUCUUAAGCAUAUGAUAUAUGCAAAAGCCUAAUAGAAAAUAUUUUGCAGUCUUUGCUCUUCAGUAUUAUCUGUGUCACAGCUACCCAUUCCCAUCCCUCCCUCUGAGACCCAUUAGAGCAGAUAAUUAUGAGUUGACUGGAUACAGGGAAGAGUCAAAUUAAGCAGUGAUAUAACCAGCAAGAGCUAUGCGAAUUCUUUCCCUCCCACUCAGCAGAUGGUUCUCUGAUAGGCUCUUUUGCAAGCUCCUGGUUGGACACGAUUUGGAAAUGCAGUCAAUUUAUUGCUGUGAAACUAGGCAACUGCGCAGCCUAGGAAGAGAUCACCAAUAGCCUCCUCCUCUCUUCCUUUCUUCUUUCCCUCCAACCUUCUGUCCUGGAAGUCUGGCACUGCAUUAAGAUGCUUAGCAUUCUGAUUCAAGGUUUAAUUUCUGAAAUCUUCCAAAUGGCUCACUGCUGGCACUAAUGGAAAAUCUCAUAUUGUAUGGAGGAUCUGUAAGGCUUCACUACAGAACAUCAGCAUACUAUUUCUGAUCACCUGACAGCAUUCUGGUUGCAUUCACAAUAAUUGCCGUAUGUAAAACAUCGUUCUCUCUCCACCUGUAUCAUCUUGAGACCAACAACUCAGAUUUGCUGUUCAGAGUUAAGAGUUUGCCAUGGUAUAGAGUGAAGAUAAUUUGAUCGCCACAGGAAUUCAGCCUCUGAUUGGGGCCUUGCUGUGUUCUAAUCAACGAAACUAAUGAACUAUAUACACUAAGCUGUUUUGUGCCAGGCACCGUGUCAAAUACUAGAAGAUAGCAAAUGUGGAAAUGGACAAAGGGGAAGAUUGCAGAGAAAAGAGCCCACUCUAUGAGAUGGAUUGAAACUCGAAGAAGGUACCAAAGAUGCAGACAAGCUCCUGUAGCCAAAGCAAAACUUGGAACCAUUCUGGAUUUUGGUCUCCAAGCUUAGGUUUAUUCUUUUGUUUUAUAAAAGAUUCAACAGUACUUUUGACCAUCAGUGGUUUUCCCCAAUGUCCUAACUAAUAUUAUCUCCCUUCACAAAAUAGGCUCUCACAGCCAGGGUGUGGUAAAUAAUCCCUGAAAACACAAUAUUCAUUGCCACUCCUGCCUCCUGAAUUACUGUAUUGCCAUGUUUUAAACAUUCUGGAACAAAGGCUCUACAAACCAGCUUCCCUGGUGGUGCAGUGGUUAAGAAUCCACCUGCCAAUGCGGGGGACACGGGUUCGAGCCCUGGUCCAGGAAGAUCCCACAUGCCAAGGAGCAACUAAGCCCAUGCACCGCAACUACUGAGCUUGAGCUCCAGAGCCCAUGAGCCACAACUGCUGAAGCCUGCACGCCUACAGCCCGUGCUCAGCAACAAGAGAAGCCACCGUGAUGAGAAGCCCACUCACUGCAACUAGAGAAAGCCCACGCGCAGCAACGAAGACCCAACAC